AUUGAACGCUGGCGGCAGGCCUAACACAUGCAAGUCGAGCGAGCGGCGGACGGGUGAGUAAUGUAUGGGGACUGCCCGAUAGAGGGGGAUAACUACUGUAAACGGUGGCUAAUACUGCAUACUAUCGGAUAACCCAUAUGGGAUUAGCUAGUAGGUGGGGUAAAGGCUCACAUAGGCGAAGAUCUCUAGCUGGUCUGAGAGGAUGAUAGGCCAAACUGGGACGGAGAAACGGCCCAGACUCCUACGGAGGCAGCAGUGGGGAAUAUUGCGCAAUGGGCGAAAGCCUGAUGCAGCCAUGCCGCGUGUAUGAAGAAGGCCUUAGGGUUGUAAAGUACUUUCAGCGGGGAGGCGUUACCCAAAGAAGAAGCACCGGCUAACUCCGUGCCAGCAGCCGCGGUAAUAC
rnacentral:rRNA from 1 species